rnacentral:rRNA from 1 species
UACGGAGGGUGCAAGCAUUAAUCGGAAUUAUUGGGCGUAAAGGGCGCGUAGGCGGGUAAGUAAGUCAGAUGUGAAAUUCCGGGACUCAAUUCCGGAGCUGCAUUUGAAACUGCUUGUCUUGAGGAUUGGCGGAGAGAACGGAAUUCCACGUGUAGCGGUGAAAUGCGUAGAUAUGUGGAAGAACACCGGUGGCGAAAGCGGUUCUCUAGCUAAUAACUGACGCUGAGGCGCGAAAGCGUGGGGAGCGAACAGG